rnacentral:lncRNA from 1 species
GGCGGGACGGUGCCGGGCUCGGUGCCGCAGAGCUCCGGGCGCCGCUCGGCUCCUCGCCCCGCGCCUGCCGCAGUAUCGCGGCGCGCUCCCGGCGCUCCGUCGCGGCCGGGCGGGAUCGCGCGUUCGGGUUCGGUCCGCGCGGGCCGCCGACCCCGUGCCGGGCUGAGGCGCGCUCGGUGCGGGGCACGCCCGCGUUUCUGCCGCCUUUCCCCGUUCCGCCGUUUUGUUACGAUAGGGACGCGGGUCUUUGGGAUGCGCUUAAGGUGCGGGAGCGCCGAACAAAGCGGCGCGGAGCUCCUCGCGUCGGAGCGGCGGCCCGCGGUCCCGCCGCACGGCUCCGCGCUGCCGGAGGCCGCCCCGGGGACAGGCCGCGCAGGUGGGGUCGGUGCGGGCCGGCCGGCGCUGCCCGAGGGACGGGGCGGACGGGGCGAUGCUGCUGGGAGCCGCCGCGUGCUUCCGCUGCGUUCCUUUUUGUGCCGGCGGGUCCUCUGUCCCCGGCGGAAGGCUCGGGGUCUCAGCGCUCUCCUUGGUUCUGCGGUUCUGUAGAGGGUUUAGGGGAAGCCGAACGAAGAGAGCCUGGCGGUGGGCUGUCCAGGCACGGAACUGACAACUCAUUGGAGCCCGUCGUAGUUCCAGGCUGAAAGCGACAAGUUAAAAAUCCGUACUCGAGAUUUCGGCUGUACCUAAGCAACUAUCUGAAUGGUCUUCUUCGUUCUGUGGUCCUACUCGUACUGUCUUUCUUCAUUUCUUGCUGAGAAUGUGUUUAUUCUCCGUAUUUUUCACUGUCCCAUUUCCAGGGCUUGCGUUUGGGCUGGGUGUCCUGCAGGGAUGUGUUCAGUAAAAAUAACUGGCUGUGUGGGAAUUAACUUCUUUAAUCUCGGGAACGUUUCCACCGCUCCGAGAUGCCACGGAUGCUCACUUGCACGAAACUAAACUACGGGUUGUUAGAUCGAAGGUGACAGUGUUGCUUUAAGCCAUCUAGAGGUCUGCUAUGUGCUGAUCUGCAGCUGGAAAUGAAAAAUUCAGACUCUGGUUAUAAAACAGCUAUGUUUAUAUGUAGCUUGGAGCUUGCUGCAGUACUUACAGAUGAGAGCAGAUGUAUGUAAGUACUCACUAGGUGUGCAUUCAUUCAUACCUUAGUCUACAAUCAAAAAGCAUACCUUAUAGCUAAUUGAUGGACCUGGCCAUCUGACAGUCCUUGAAGCAGUGGAUAGGGAAACUCCUCUUAAAUGCUACAGGAGAACCAUUAAGGUUUUCCUCCUAACAGUCACUUAAAAUAUUUAUGCAGAAAACGUAACUAAUGGUCGCACUGGUUAUGAAGGACUUGUAUCUGAAUGUCUGUCUUCAGGAAGUCUGAAUCUAAAUCCUGUCCUUGACGAAUGCUGUGUGUUAAGAAAGGACUGGUAAGUGGUAUGUGACGGUGUAUUCGUGGUGUAAACCUCAACGCUGGUGGCCGAGGUCAGAAUGACAUUUUAUUUUAGGCUUGCUUACCUCCAUGGUUUUACAUAUUCUGCUUUUAACCUUCCUCUGUUUGCAUUUAGGAGCGUUCUGCAAGUGUGCCUCUUGAGAAAGCUUGGCUGGUUUGCAGGUGCUGCUCCCCUUCCAUAAAGACUGCAGUGCUGUUACUUUCUUGUGUGAGGGCUUUGGUUACCAGUGUGUGCGUGGUAGUGCAGAGCUGGUGCUGUUCUGCUUUGGGAGAAAGUUGGGGCAGAGCUGGUCCUCAGCUGGAUGUGCUCCUCUCUGCUUGCAGGAUUUCAGAAUGACUUCUCAGUCACUCGCUUAAUCCACUCAUGGAUUAACUCUCCUUUUUUAUUCCCCUGCCUGCCCUGCUUUGCACACACAGUGGCUGUAUUGCCAACGUAAUCUUAGAGUGGUAUUCAGCACAGCUCAAGGUAAAGGGAGAGGGAGAACUGUCCAUGCUGAUGCCGUCUGUCUUUGUUCUGAAUGGCACCGCUUCUUGACCGUCCCAGAAAACUGCUGGUGAGAGCAGCAGUGGAGCCCAUGUGUGGACCUUUGUUGUUGUUACAGUUUUAAUUCAGUGCUGUUACCCUAGAGAAGGCUUAGGUGUUUUGAUCCCAUUGCUAUCCGGCUGUGACAACAGUCUGGUCAAAGCUUGCUUCAGCCAUGCAGCACCCAGCACUGUGUUCUAGGAAUCCAUUCUCUGCUGCUUGAUAUACAUCUUAACAGCGUGGGAUGGAAACAUCCUUCAGCUUACGGUUACAGUUUUCCAUCCGAGUAGCUCUCAGUCAGGGCUACGAUCUGUGGUAUAUCAGAUCCUAGCACGAAGUCACUUACACCAGUAAAACACACGUGCUGUUAGGGCUUGUCUUACUUAUGUGGUCUGUUAUUAUUAUGUGGCUGUAACUGAAAUGCCAACUGCAGAGAUGCUGCUUGCAAUUACAGAGGUGGCAAUAAAGCAGAAGUGGUACUGAUCUAGCAUUCAUUCCGCAGUUUGGAAAAGAUGUGAUGAAGUGCAAGAGGCAGGCACUGUUUCUUUGUUAGGAGGGGAGACCAACAGAACAGACAGCAGGAGGUGAGCCAAUAUAGGCACAUCAAAUCACCACCCUUUCCUUCCUUUUUCUCCUCCUCCCUCCCAAGCUGAAUGACAUCUUCUGUUAUAAUUGCACAAGGGAGGGCGAGAAAGGGAAAAACACGUUUGGGAGAAAUGCAAACGUGCACUCUUGAUAGUGUGUGUGAGAGAUCAGCGUGUAGCCAGGGCUUGUGAAGGGUGUGCACACAUCUGGAUUCCAACCAAGCUUUUGGGAUGGAGACACUGAAUUAUUUCUGUUCCAGCUUCUUAGUAAUUUUGAGGUAGUCAGGGUAGGUAGUUGGUAAGGCUCUAACUGCGUUUGGUUUCUUGAUGUAGGCAGUAAACUGACAUGGAUCAUAGCUCUUAACCAUUUUGUCCAUGUUGCCUCUUGAAGAGGCACAGUGAUGCUCAUCUUGUGAUAGAAACUCAGUGCCCUCCUGCAAUUGAAGGGAGGAAGAUUGCUCACCUCUGUGGACAGCUUCUCUUUUGCUCCCUGCUCCUUUUCAGUUUGAUCAAACAGCAGUUUUUUGGCUUGGCAGCAAGAGGAAGCUGAUGUCUCUCUCUUCAUUUUCUGAGGCAUUUGUAUUGUCUCCACUUAAACGCUGUUGGUGUGGAUGGGGAAGGAAGUGCAAGCUCUUGCUGUUCUUAGACAGCAGUGCAUGAAUGAUAGAACCAUUUCAAUUUCAGGAAAGAGGUGCCAGUUUCAUCCCACUGUUCUCAAGGGGAAUCCAUAAUUUUUCUGCUAAAGAUGGUCAGUAGCAGCAUAACUUCUUACUGAAGGCAGAAACCCUAUUGCUCCAACAGGGAUCAGCUGUUUGGAAACUGUUGUUUUUGCCAUAGACAACGUGACAAACUGCAUUUCAUUUUUUAGAAAGUGCUCUGAGGAAAGCUAUGGAAAUGAUGAGGAAAACCUUUUUACCACAUUCCUUUCUCUCAGCCUGUCAUUUCUGCCUUCUCCCCAGAUCUUUAUCUGGAUUAUAUGUUAACUUUUUUCUUUCUUUCUCCGUGGCAUCUCUGCGAUACGAUCUUUUGUGUCUAGCCAUAUGGUUAAAACUAGUCUAGGCUGUCCUUGCUUUGUGUCUGGUUUUCUUUUUGACACUCAACCAUUCAAAACUGACCAUUUUUUUUCUGAAAGAAGUGAUUUUGUUUGCUUGCCAUUAAGGCUUUAAACAAAAUCAUUUCUAUGUGUGUCCUGCAGCUACGUGCAUAGGCUGGUUUUCUUCUUGGUCAGUUUCAGCUGGCAUUGACAGUGGCAUGCUGUGGAGAAUCUCACACAGUCCCAGCUGUUAGAGCCGCUAACCUUCAGGCCGGCACUAAAGCCUCCUUGUUUUCAUAGACUCAUGGAAUGGCCUAGGUUGAAAAGGACCUCAAGGAUCAUCUAGUUUUAAACCCCUUCCCUGGGCAGGAUUGCCAACUGCUGGACCAGGCUGCCCAGAGCCACAUCCAGCCCAGCCUUGAUUGCAGCCAGGGAUGGGAUUUUGUCUCUACGUUGUUGAUCUUGAAAGAGGAGUGGCAGAUAUGGGUGCUGUUAUCUCAUCAUCGAAGUCUCACAAACACCAAUGGAGCAGCCUCAUCCUCUGCCUUGAGAACUACAGGAAAGUCCUUAGCGCCAUCCUCUACCACAGGCUGAAAUGCAACAGCUAGACAGUGGGUGAGUGGGCUACUGCUUAUUGUUACGAAUGCAUGAGCCUUUUUGCUGUACUCCUUUCUUUCUUUGAAAUCACUUGUCUGGCAAUCAUCCCGUCCCUUGAGUUGGAGCCUGUGUGCAGGAAGUGUGCUUUCUUCUGCUCCUUGUAGCAUACUGUGCAGUAGACUGCUGAUUUAGGCUGGUAGUCUCAAGCUUCUUACUGUACAUUACAAAACAAAGCUUCAGUCCUGCAGUUUUCCAUUUUCUGUGCUGAUUAUUUCCAACAUUAGGAAUGUUUAUCUGAUGGUUUGGAUCUUUUGCUGUGUUUGUCUGUAUCAGUAUUCCAGCCGUACAGCUUAAUUAAAAUCUGGGAAAUAACCUGCUUACUGCAUCAACUUCCUCUUUGGCCAGCAGGAAAUUGUUCUGUAUUGCUGCUUUCUGCCCUGCUGUUUGGAAGUAAUUCCUAUGAAUCUGCGGUACUUUGAAGUGAGGCAAGGCUUGCAGGGAGCUGCUUGUGGUUGAAGGAAGAGGGCAUUUCAGUGCAUGGAAGACUUGUAUUAAGAAAAAGCGUCUUCCUUUAAGGCUUUGCUUUAGUUAUAUCCUUUAUCGUCAUGGCUGUGUUGUUCUGUGGAUUGAGCUUUUUGUGGUGUAUCUCAGGAAGUCUUAGGAUAUGAUCCUGCUACUCAUCAAGUAACUUUUGAACUGAAGUGGGCAGUGAAAACAGGUUAUCUCCCUUUAAGUUAUUGAGAUCUCUUCAAGUCUAUAGGGAGACUUCUUGCUGAAAGGUUUUUUUUUUUUUUUACUUAAAAGAAAUGGUGUAUGCAAAACAGCCUUAUUUUUGUGGGAUCAUAUCUUGUUAUCUCUGCCAUGCCAGUAAAAGUCUUGUGGCUGUGCAAGUCCUAUCUAACAUUGGCAUCUCUUUGUGGUGCUGGUAGAACUGUGUUGGUUCUAUUGGGAUGGCUGGGAAUUCCUUCUUGCCCUUCUGUUAGUCUCUCUAAAAUGUGGUGUGUACUUAAACAGCUGUUGAAGUGGGCUUCUAUUUGGUCAGGUCCUGUGAAAAGGACAGCAGAACCUCUGCUCCAUUUCUAUAAGAUACUGCAGCUUGCAUUUAACAUUUAAUGUUAAAUGUUAAACAUUUUAUUUUACAUUUAACAUUUGGAUUUAUUUCAGGGUUCAUUCAAGAAAUGAAACUUGAGGCAACAGAAACCAAAUUUGCCUCAAAUCCAGUUAAACCCAGCAACAGUUGGUACCCACCCAUAGAACAGACUACUCCGGGUCUCCUGCUGAGACACUUGCAACACCACAGUCUUGUGACUGGAGGAUGGGAGGCUUUCUUGUCUCUGUUGUGUGGUGAUCUGCACAGAAAGAUGCAGAAUUUGCCUAGAACUCUUGCUUUAAAUAGUGAAAUGGCAGAAUGUUUCACUAAUAUUUCUUUGUAGAGCAAAGUUAUUUCUUUAGCAAGCCUGUGUGCACUGUGUAUGGUACUCCAGCUGCUAUAAACAAAGUUCUGCUCGAUUUAGGUGGGAAGAGCUACCUUAGACUGCCAGGAAGGGCAAACGGUUUAUGGGCAUGUGGCAUGCUUUUGGUGAUUCACUUAGCCAACGUAAAUCACUAAUUAAGUGAGGCUCCCACUGAGAAUUCUCUAGAGCUGUGUCUCUUCCUGCUUUGAUUGUAAAGAUUAGUUCAGAGUUAGCCUUUGUGUAUGGUUUCCUUGGUGAGCCUGGGAAGGUCAGUGCUGCAUGCCUGGUGUUUCAGGUUUCUUUUGGAUCUUACAAGUGUCUCUGGUCUUGUUAUGGACUUUCCUGGGAAAGUUAGGACCGCUUGCAAAUGCAGAAAGUAUAUAGGAAGACUGGAUGUCAGUGCUGUGUGGUCUGCAUCCAGUACUUCACAACAGAGGAGUCUAUGUGAAAAUGGAGCAGUUGUCCAGAAGAUAACAGCCUCAGCAGGAGAUAGCUGCUAAUAAUUCUUCACAGCAAAUUAUUAUCUCCACGCUCUCUAGAGAAGGCAGAUGGGCUACAACUGAGACCAUCUUUCUAUCCUAAUACUAGUUGUGUUGUGUUUGCAUUAUGUAUAAUGCCUGCUGCAUUACACUUACACUUGGAGACUUACCUAGGACUCUGCUGUGCCAAAUACUGUAUUAAAGCAUAGAAAACAAGUCCCUGCUCUGAAUAUAUAUGUAUUUGCUUAAAUAAGGCAGAUGGGAGUAGAAGAACACAAAUACAACUUUCUGUUGAUGUUUCGAAUGGCAAAUGCUGGUAAGUUUUGAAUUUGGUGCAUUGAAUAGGAUUUUAUUCAACAGUGGAUUUAUUUCAAGAUGUGAAGCAACCUACAAAUCAUUCUGUGGGAUGUGACAAAAAGUCAGUUGUGGGUUUCAGGGGAGCUGUGCCUCCGUGAGAGGUAUGUAUUUAUGCAGGAACCUUUGUGUUGAAAUAGCCAAUUUGCAUUCAGGCCAUAGGUCCCUGGCACAUCCUCUGUCUUUCAGCUUCCAUCAGCUUGGUCAGCCUCCAUGACAUUGAGUGGAUUUCCUGCUGAACUGUCUCUCAGGCAGCUCUUUGCACUCAUGCCACAUUGUCUGUAUUCCUUGAACUAGUGUCCUACACAGACAGUAAGUGUUGGGACUUCCUAAAGUCAGAACUAUUCCAGAUGGCAGCUUAUAUGCUGAGCCGCAGUCUACUGAUACUAUCGUAAUAUGGUUGUGGUCACGAGUGUAUUCACUGUGUGGUUCAUGAGGGGAAGAGACUUGUGAUCCACAUUCCCUCCGGCAUAUAGGGGAGAUCCUUAUUGUUGUCUGUGCUGCAUGUGAAGCAGGUAGCUCCUCUCUCAUUUCCUCCAGGUCUGCUUGUUUAUGUUUUGACUGUUCUUUACCCUCCCAUCUCUCUUUGUCCCCUUCCUAGCCGGUACCUCCCCAAGAGGCAGAAUCUUCUGGCCUGGUAGGGCUGAACUUUAGAUUCUUUACCAAGUGUUCCUUUUGAUUGCGUCCUCCUACAUGUUUUCCUUCCUUUAACCUACUGCCCUUUUUUUCUGGUGUCUGAUCUCCUACCACUUCCCCACCCCCUGUGCUGCUUACUGUUCUACCCUUCUUUGGUGCAGGGAAGAGAAACUACUGAAUUUUGUUAGCAAUAGCGAUUAAGCCUGUUUGUAACAGGGUGAGCCAGGAGGAACAAAGGUAAGAGCAGGGUAUGUCUCAUGGACUGGAUUAGCUGUGCAGCUUGCUGGAUUUUGUUUUUUUUUGCAGGGGGGGGGAGGUGGAGGGUAUCAAUUAAUGUUAAUUUAGAAAUGGUAUAGUCUCAGCUGUGAUCUAAAACAGCUAAAUUGCUUCGGUAGUGUCACUUGAGAUGUUUGCUUCCCUUUAGAAGAAGUCUUCUGCUAAUGUGCCCUUUUGCGGACAUUUGUCUAGAUGUCUCAUCAGUCUGGAGAGGCUUGUUUUAGUGCUGUCUGCACUCCCAGGAGUUUAUUUUUAAAUAGUUACUGAAGCAACAGUCUUGUAAAAUGCUGCAGUGCUAAGAUAGGAGGAAUUAAAGUGUUCAGUAAUCCUCUAAAAGGGUAGGUUGAAAAAAUAUAUAUCUUUGUUCCUUUCUCCAAUGCUAGCUGACAGUAUUGGUGAAACUACGUUCUGGGAGAAGACUGAUUUACUUCAUGAAUAGAUGACAACAUAACUUUAUUCCUCAAAACUCUUCUACUCUAGUUUAAAAGGUGGAUAUUUCUAAACUGAACUGACAUCAAAACCAAAUGCUUGAGAUCAGGAACUGCUGUGCACUGUCCUUCAUUCUCUGCUAUGAAAACAUGACUUCUCUCCAUUGACUUCUGCCGCCUUGAGGUGAACUGUGUCUCAUGAUAGUUGCUGUGGCUGUUGUGAAGCAGUGGUGCUUCACAAGCCUAAUGAUAUUACUUUCUGCAGGAGAAGCAUUUUGUAAGGUUUCCUUCUUUGUGCCAAAAAGGUAGAUUCUUUGCUAUUUCCACUACACUAGAAAAUGUCAAAGAAAACAUUUCUCAAAGAGGUCAAAUAGUCUUAUCAUGCUACAUUCCUGUAUCAUUUUAUUAAUCUGCAGUUUUCAAUUCAGUUGUGCCAGUACAAUAGUUAUACUUCAUUAAGGUGUUGAUUUCAUUUGGGAUCAUGUUACGUCUAGGUGGCUUCACAUAUCUAGAUUGUCUUUAAGGUUCCUUCCAACUCAAGCCAUUCUUUGAUUCAUUUCAUUGAUGAAUCAGAUGAUUAAUGGAAUGCAAUCCCAAACAUCAGUACAGACUGAGUGAUGAAUGGGCACAGAGCAGCUCUGCAGGGAAGGACUUGGGGUUCCUGGUGGAAAAGCUCAACGUGAGCCAGCUGUGUGAACUUGGGAGCCUGGAGGGCCAAUAGUAUCCUGGGUUGCAUGAGAAGAGUGGUGACCAUCAGGGUCAAGGUGAAGGAGGUAAUUGUCUCCCUCUACUUUGCCCUUAUGAGGCCCCAUCUGGAGUUCAGGCCUGCAGCUCCCAGCACAAGGAAGACAUGGAGUUGUUGGAGCAGCUCCAGAGGAGGUCCAUGAAGAUGAUCAGAGGGCUGGAGCAUCUCUCUCAUGAAGAAAGGUUGAGGGAAUUGGGCUUGUUCAGCCUAGAGAAAAGAAGGCUCCAGGGAGACCUCAUUGUGGUCUUUAGUACCUAAGAGGGUUUACAAGAAUGAUGGGAAGGACUUCUUACAAGGGCAUGUAAUGAUAGGACAAGAGGUAGUGGCUUUGAACUAAAACAAGGGAAAUUUAGAUUAGAUACUGGGAGGAAAUAUCUAAUCCACCACUCAGAGGGUGGUGAGGCCCUGGCACAGGCUGCCCAGAGAAGCUGUAGGGUGCCCAUCUCUGGAGGCAUUUAGGGCCAGGCUGGAUGGGGCCCUGUUGGGAACAGUCAGUAUACAGAACAUCCCAGGCAGUAAGGCUUUUUGAUGGAAGGCAACAAUGGUGGUAAAUUCUUUACCGAGGGUAAUGCAUUUGUGCAGACUUUGGUAACUUAGAGACAUGACGCUUUCUCACCGUCAGUGUCUGCUGGCAAAUUCAGCUGUCAUGCUUAGUAUGUUGGUUCUAGACUCUUAAGAAAGCAAGGAAUUUCAGAACAUUUAAAACAAACGAACAAACAAAAAGAACAACCAACAAAGAAAGAUGAAGUAGUGAAGACAGAGGAAAGGAUUGACUCAGCCAAGUAGGUUCAAGACCUAUAGGAGAGACUUGACCUGGCAGGGCAAUGCCAGCUCCACGCAAGCCAGUCUUGGUUGUUCCUUUCCUUGUUGGUGUCACAAUAGUGGUGGAUCUUGAAGGGAAGACUCUGAAAUGGACUGGAAGUGAAGUGUUGUCAGAUGAACGAUUCUGUUGGAUUUGAUGAUGAAUUGCCUUAAAAUGCUGUAUUAACUAUGGCAAUUCAGGAAGCAAGAGUGGGCAGCUGAGCAUGGCCCAUCUAACAGCUGUCUUAGCUUAAGCUGAUGUGACUUAUAUUUUUUAACUAGAAUGGUGUUUCACUUGCUACAGUGGUAAUUGCAAGUUUUCUGUUUUAAUUCCUAUGACUUAACUGGGUCCUUUGGCAUGUGACCGUUUGCAAGUCAGGUGUAUCAUUUGGCUGUAUUUGAAAAAGUUUCUUCACAGCAGUGUGGACUUGAGGUUUUUCAGUGCUAUGAAUUAAAUGCUAGGCAAUACAGUGCAAUCAUCACCUAUAAUGUUAGUAGUUACACUGCAUCAUUUUGCUGGGACUUGCAGCUUGCUUUAUUGUGGAGGCAAUCUCAUGGAGUAUCCCUGCUGCUGGGGAACCUGAGAGCAGGUGAUCCUGUUUGCAAAUGCAAUAACGACUUAAAAUAUGUAAUACUUAAAAUGUAUUUCAUCUCAGUUAUGUCACUUCUCUGCCCCUGUUUCCCCAAGUAGAAUGUACUUUCCACUUGGAGUAGCUCCUGUCAUGCAAAAUACAACUUUCUUUUGAUAUAUGGGAGUUCACGGUGAGUUACACACAGUGAAGGCAUGCAAGUUCAGUGGAGUUUGUUAUGGCAGUAAAAUCUUUAGGUGGCAAGGUCAUGGCCACGGGAUUAACUUGCAUUCAGCAGUCCUUUCAGUGGAAAGGCGUGCUCGGUAAACAUCUGGCUUUUUUAUAAGCUGGCAAUAUUCAGUUCUCCUUUCCAUGAAGGUCUUAAAAAUGGUGGUGAUAUGAACCCUAGCCAAUCCCUUCAGCUCUGGGUUCAAGAGGGCUUUUCUUUGGGAGUAGAGUGGGGAGGCGAGGAUGCGGGCUGACCAGGCCUUCAAUAAACAUGUUUUAAUUUGUGACAAUUUAUUAGAGCACUGAAACUGAGUGGCAGUCUGUUGCCAGAGUGUGUUCUUACCUGUGGGGUGUGUUUGUGGCAGCUUAGAGUGGUGAUGGCACAUUGGUGAUGGGCAUGAGCUUACUGCAUGAGCAGAGCCCUGGUAGUAAGGAGUUAAAACUCAGAGAGGAAUGAACUGAGGUCAGCAGCACAAUCAGUCUGUUCAGUAAAUAAUUUUCUUUGUAUACUUACUCCAUUCUUUCACUCAUUAUUUGCUCCACUUAUUCUUUUCCCUUCCUACACACACACAUAUGCGUGCAGUCACAGGGUUUCUCUGGCUUUAUUAUUCUCUGUCCCCCUUGUUAUCGCCUUCCAAUGGCCACUUGUCACUGUGACCCUCCCUCUGGCCAAGGAGCUGUAGAUGAUAGGUUUCCUGUGCAGGAACCACCCUCGAUCUCGGAUGGACACCUCUGCUCAGCUUUGGAGAUUCCAGACUGUUUUCCGGCUGCUCCUGUGAGUCUGCUUGCUCUGAGCACUGCAGUGGUUACACAGAAUGCAGCGCACAGGAGGGAGAGAGCUGUGCAGCCAAACACAGAGGAAUUAGGAGCUCUUUCCCACCUCUUUUUCCCCUGUGGUGGCAGGCUGUGAGCUCCUGGGUGAGUGAGCAUCUGAUACGUGGCAUGCUUUGUUCCAGAAUUCAGGGGGAAGCCUGUUAAAUUGCCAUGCUGUUACUGAGAAUUUGGGUGAAUGUGGGACGAAGCAUUGGUUAAUGGUAGAGCCUGCGAAAUACAGCAGGCUUUCGUGCUAGUGCUUGGAUGUGAUGCAAUGAAAAGAAGGCUUUAAAGGGUCUCGUAUCUGAGGAUCCACAGAAACCAGCUGGAGGGAGAGUAGGAUUUUGGGGGGUGAGUGACCUUGAAUGUCCAUUCCAGUGAAACAGUGGAGGUGUGACUUGCAUUUAGGAAAAUAUACUCUGGGAGGCCUUUUGUUUGGAUGGGGACAGCUUAAAUGUUCUGUAUGUCUGUAGAGAUCCAUUUUGAUUUUUCAGUGAAAGUAUAAUAGCUACAUCUUGUCACCUCUGUGCACGAUAUUAUAAAUGUUCCUGUCCCCAGGCUUCUGAAAGAUGUGCCAAAUGGCUGUUGUGGGUAUUAAAUUGGCUUAAGGCCUCACAAGCAGGGAGAAAUAAACGUUUAGCAGGCAUACUGGAGCAAUUGCAUGGCAACUAUUAAGAUGGCAGCCUGUGAAUAAUCAGGCAUAAGUUUUGGGCAGGAGGGGGUCUUUGAGCCUGCAUGGCUUAGUGGCCUACAGCCGAAUAGUUCUUGCCUGCUGUUGGAGCCUCUGUGCUCCUUUCCUUUAGGGCAUCGUUUCCUCCUUCAUUCUUCUGAGAUUUUUAUGCUUUCCAUUGUGUUUUCUUAAAUAAAAAGGCAACUCUAGAAGCAAACAAACGAAAUUCCUCUCUUGCUUGACUUGUGCUUUUCACUUGAAAAUAGUUUUCCUUUCCAGCAUUAUUAAAACCAGGACUUUUCUCAGCUAGACUGCAGCUGCAGAGUCAGUGGGGUAAAAUGAGUAUAGUGCUUGAUUUGAGAGUUCAUUUUCUUUACCUCUCUUGAGUUAAAUGUUGAUAAUAGCAAAGCUACGAAUCUGACCAUACUAAAGGGAGACAGGAGCUCAGUGUUCUCUUAACAGACUUUAUAUACAGCUUUCCUAUAGCUACAUUGUUUAGUGAAGUGGGUUACUUUUUGGUUAAUAGAUGGACUUUGAGGCUCAGGUCCUUCUCAUUUGAAACAAUGGAAGCAAUCAUCAAAGCUAAAUGCCAAAGGGGAACAAUUAGAAGGGUGUAUUUUCUGGGAGUGUCUUGGGCAGCGCUCCUGUCUCCAGCUGCUUGGUUUUUAUCCUGGGGUGCUGUGUCCUUUUCUCAUCCUGUUGUUACCCAGGGCAGCUGUCUGGGCACACACGAGAAGUCUAAUCAGAAAACUGAUCUCAGUUUAAAAAUAGCCUUGCUGGAAGAAAAGGUAGGGAACCUGGUCUGGUUUACAGUGCAGUCCCACAGUGGUUGUAAUGGCACUAAUGGUCAGGUGGAGAUGACUUGGUGAUGAGGCUGCCAUGUCUGAGACCAAAGUUCCCUGUGAACUGGUGUCUGCUUUCCCUCAAAGCUCUGUAAACUUCUCAGUUUUGCUUGUGAGCUUGGCCACUUCUGCUUGCAUCAGCUGGUCUUGUAAGGAAAAAUUCCCUUCCCUGUGGAGGAAUCCUAUAAAAAUACUUGCAAAAUGUAUACUAGCUGUUCAUUCUUAAUUAUGACCAAAUAUGUGAAGAAACCUGAGGCUUCUAAUAACUGAAAAAAUAACUACAUUUUCCUGUUAAUUAGUGACUCAAAGCAGCAUGGUAAAAUGAUUGGAAUACUGGGUUUGCGAUUGUUUUAGUUUUUUGAAGAACUAAUUUUUAGAUUAAUGUUCCAAAUACUAUUUGGGUUGUACUGAGAUGCUUGUAGCCAAGUGGUUCCCCUUUGAUUCUUUCAAAGGGCUUUGCACUGAUCCAGGAGGGCUCCCUGUCCAGCAGUGUGCACUUAGGAUGGUACUUUCAAGUAAAAUUAAGUAGGAGACACUGUGUGUCAGGAUUUGUGUAUGAAGUGGUAGGGUGGAACUGACUUGGCCAAGAAGGCCAAAUUGUAUCCUGAGGUGCGUUAAAAAGAGUGUGGCCAGCAGGUCGAGGGAGGGUGAUCCUCCCCCUCUGCCCUGGCCAGGCCACAUUUAGAAUACUGUGUCCAGUUCUGGGUUCUCCAGUUAAAAAAAAAACAGGCAUCUUCUAGAAGCAGUCCAAUGGAGGGCCUCAAAGAUGAUAAAGGGCCUGGAACAUCUCCUCUGUGAGGAAAGGAUGGGCAACCUGUGUCUGUUAAGCCUGGGGAAAAGAGGACUGAGGGGGGGGGGAGGGGGAGGAUCUGAUUAAUGUUUAUAAAUAUCUGAAGGGAGGUAGGCAAAUGGAUGGAGCCAGGCUCUUCUUGGUGGUGCUUAACAAUAAGACAAGGAGCAGUGACCUAAAACUUGAACGUAGGAAGUUCCAUACUAACAUGUGGAAGAAUUACUGUAGUAAGGGUGACGGAGCACUGGAACAGGUUGCCAAGUGAGGCUGUGGAGUCUCCUUCGAUGGAGAUAUUCAAGACCCCCCUGGAUGCCUAUCUGCGACCUAUUGUAGGGAACCUGCUUUGGCAGGGGACUUGGAUUCACUGAUCUCCCUUCUAACCCCUGCAAUUCUGUGGAAAAUAACUUUCUGCACAGCCUCACCACGCUUGGAGAAUGAAACGAGGUGACCUGUCUCACUGCCUGAAGAAACUGAGUCCUAACCUUGAUAGGUCCAGAUGUUAUUCACAUGCACAAAAAGCCUCAAAGGGAAAUUGAAAGGAAAUAAAAUUGGAAAGGAAGGAUCCAUCCAUCUUUCCUAUUUCACAGAACAUGUGUAUGAACCAGGGUGCAAUGUGCAGGAGAUACUCAUAGUUGCUUUUCUGUCGUUCUCCUGUACUUUGCUCUCUAGUUUAGAUAGGCAUUUGCAGCACUGCAGGAUUUCUGUCUGUAGCCUGUUCUUAUCUGGGAAAGUAGUGUUACCUUUUAAACCAGUGAGAAUACUAUUGAUCUAACGUCGCACUGAAGUCCUUUCAUCUUGAGUUGUUCCAGCCAUUUUAUAAAAGGGAUAAAAGCCUGCAUCCCCUUGGCUUUGGAAGGGAAAUGCAUGAAGUGCAGGGUUGUAUUGUGGAUGACCUUUGUGAGCUUAGACAUGGCGAGGAUAAGAAUCCACAUCACUUCCUGGGAUCAGUACAUUAAGGAGACUUUCAGUGUCUGUGAAUAUACAUGUUUGAGGGCAUGAAAUAGCAACUUAUGUGUAUAUAAUGAAUCCUUACAUCUGUUUUCACAUGUGCAUAUGGGUAUGAAUUUGCAAGAUAGUGUGGGUGGGAAUAGAUGCAGGCCUGGGAAAAUUGUGAUAGCUUGUAACUGUGCCACUUGGCACGCAGUAUGUGUACAAACGCAUACUUGCAGAACAGUAUUCAGUGUAAAGUAAUUUCUACCUUCUCUUCCCUCUGAAGAGUCAUGAACCCUAGGUGGUUUGCUUUGUUUUUAAGAGUAACUACUACUUGUGACAAUCUUAAAUGGUCUUUCCCACUUUCCUAGUUUGGUGACUUUCUGCAUGGGAACCAUUGCUGCGUGGCACUGUCCACAUCCCCAAGUAGUCAAGCCUAGUAAUGGUACAGAUGGAGAAGUGAGUGGCAUUGGAGUCUGCCUAACAGCCGUCUUCAGUGUGCUCUGUGAUUUAGGAUUGGAGUAAUGGGUGAAGUUGGCAAUUUCACUGGACUGUAUGUUAGGAAAGCUACUUCUAGGGAUGCAUGCAUUAGCCUUUUAUUUAUUCAUACUGAGAUUUGUGAUUCAUAGUAGUUUCAAAAAAUGCUUCUGAAAUUAAUAGCGUGUUUUGUUUGCUGCUACAUCUACGGCAUUAUUGAAGCCCCUCCUCGACACCUUUAGUGUUACUGAAAUUUCCAUUGGUCUCUCUGUGCUACUUUUAUUCCUUAUACGCUUUUUUUUUCCUUGUUGUUGCAAGAGCACCAGUGUUUGAUUCUGUAGCCUUCCUGUUGGCACAACUAUCAUUCUGAUGUAAAUGUUGAAAAGCUGCUGCUUCAUGGGGGGGGGGGGGGGGGGGAGAGCACAGGCUCUUAGGUAAAUUCUGUGAUUUCACUACUUUGUGGAUAGUUUGAGAAAUGGGAAUACAGUGUUCUGCACUCCUUGGGCCAGCCCUGAGUUAUUAAUUAGUUAGACCAUUCUGUAAUUUUCUAUCAUUUGAUGCUAUUUCAGGAAACCAAGGAACAAGUGUUUCUGUUUUUAUUAACUUUGUCAUUGUAAUACAUGCUGAACUUGAGUGACAAAGAUGGACUUGUGAUUCUUCCCUCUGAUGUCCUCUUCCUGCAAACCUCACAACUAAUGUCUUUAUUAAAAAAUAUGCUACCUACAUGCAUGUUUAGUCCACGAACUCCCUAUAAAUUGGCUAGUCUCCUCAUCUGACACAGGGAGCCAUACUGAAAUAUGAAGUAUAGCAAUCCUUGUACAAUACUGGUUCUGGCAGCACUCACAUUCUGGUUUCUUACGGUGUCGAAUAACAGAUGGAAGGGGGAACAAAACAACACCAAACAAACCUGGAGGCAGGGAAGAUCAGUGCAUGAGCCAUUCUCAUACAGUAGAAACCAGUAAAUUAAUAGGCAGUAGGAUAAUAUUAAUUUAAUACUUGAACUGAAUUGGAGUCGAUAGUUGAGGAUCAAUGUAUGCAUGCUCAUCCAUUUUCCAAGGCAGUGUGUGAUCCUGUUGCUAUUGCACUAUUUGCCUCGAGUAAAGCAGUGCGCUACAUCCAGUUGUGAUCCUUCUUGAUGGAUGGAUUUCCUCUCUUGAAAUCACUGUGCCCUAGGACAUACUUUUUUUUAAAUAUCACUCAGUACAAUGGAAGUGAUUUCUUCUUUUUUUUUCUUUUUUUUCUUGUCACGCUGAGUUAUUUGCUUGCAAAUUGAAUUAUGGAGGUGACUUCCAUAAACAGGUAGCAUCUCAGAAACCUUUCUGUGUGUGUGUGUGCGCUUCAGGUCAGCCAGUAGAGAAGAGGCAGCUCAGUUUGCCAGGAGUAUUGUAGAGCAACGUUGCAGAGCUCUUGCUGCCCCUGCUUGGCCUGCUAAUAGGGAUGAAGCAUAAGAUUAACAAGGAAAAAUGAAAUCAGUACUACUGCAUUCAGAAAGGGAAGUAAGCAGAGCAGCUUUGUGUGGAUUUUGUCUUCUAACGCCAGCUUAUUAAUUUUAGUAAGCCUGACUUGUCUCUUAUUUUCAUCAUUCUUUUGAAAGAUUCCAACUUUUUAUGGCUGUUUUUAACACUUCUGAUUGAGAGGAGUAACAUUCUCCUAUGUAAUUAGAAGUGCUGACUGCUGGCUCUGUAGAAAGAUGGUAAAUCAUGCCUAGGCCAGUACUGACAUUGAUGAUGAGACAUAAUAAAAACUCAAACAAUCCAUAGACUUGGUGACUGUGUUUUCUUAUCUCACUUACGUGCAGUUUGUCAGCUGGAGGAAGUGUGUGUGGUGUGGAUGUUUUGUUCUUUCUCUUUUUUUUCUUUUUCCUCCAGACUCUGUUCUGACUUCUUGAGGCACUUAAAUGAGCAAAUGACUUUCUCCUUUUCCUGAUCUAGCUUGUUCUUUCAGUCUGCCUGAGAUGCAUUUUACACAUAGAUUUUGUGUAGGGUUUUUGAAUGGUUGACUUGCCAGAUGUGAAGGCACAACUGGGACAGCUUUGUUGGUAAAUAGCAGCAUUAAAAACAAAAUAAAAAAAUCUAAAAAUGGUGUGCCUUUGCUGCUAUAAACUUGGUUGUAAUUUCUUUCUUGAAGACUUAAGUCCCUCCUUUCCUCAGUAAGUUGAAAAGAAGCCACAAAUCUAAGCUGGAACUUGGUGUCUUGACUGGAGGCAUUUGAGAUAUUUGUUUUGGGAUUGAGUUAUGUCUUCAGUCUCCAUAUGCACUCAGGAUCUCUGGUUAAGGGCAAGUGAAAGGGGCCUUUCCCACUUCUCUCCUGCUCUGAUGUAGUGGUGACAAGAAUCUGUUGUGUGGCUAUUUGAUAGGGCAUUGUUCCUUGGCUGUCAGUCCCUUGGGCUUUCUGGCAUGGGUGUGUUAUACAAGAAGUCUGUAAGUCUAGACAGCGCUGCAACUGGAAUUUGUGGCAAAAGUAACUUCCCUGCUCUUUCCGAGGAUCAGUUUCAUUAUACUGCACUGAUAGUUGUCUCUGUAAGUGGCCUUCCUCACAGACCUGGAUUCAGGUGUUCCACUGAAGGUAUUUUGAGACCCUAGACAGAUGUCAGCUUCACAGUUCUCAUCUCUUUCUGCUGUCCAGAGCAAGCUGUGACUUCUCUAUGUGCCACAGAAAAAAAUAAGAUGACCAGAAAUUCAAGGCUCUGGCCCCAGAGAAGUGCCAGGCUUGAAAAUAUAGAGAGCUUAUGGUUAGAUAAUGGGAAGGAAAAGCCCUGCCAUUACCAUUUAUUAAUUACUAGUCAGCUUCCUUUAUGGGGAUUGCUCUCAGGGAGAAAGUGACUUUCCUGUAAGUAUCAGUUCUGUGGCGUUGGGGAAGUAAGACCCUGGCUCUGAGAGGAGAGGGCUGCAAAGAGCUUGCAGCAUUUCAGACCAAAACUUGAUUCACUUUGGUGUUCCCUGGGGCUUUCAGUCUGGUGGCAGUAGGAACUUAAACAAACUCUGAUUCUAAGGUGACAACAACGGCAACAAAGAACCCCACCAAAUGUUCCCUUCUCUUAGUUUUUAGUGAACCAGCUGAAGCAGAGGAGGCUAUCUCAUACACAGCUGCAAGUUUCUUCUGCCUUUCUGUGAAAGACAGUGGCUUCUUGGAAAAUGCGUAGUCUUUGUUCAGUUUUCAUGACUUGUAUGUUCUGUGAAAAAGGCAAGAUACUUCCAUUUCCUAUUAUUGUUGCACAAAAGUCACACGCGCAGCAUGUUAGUAAGUCUUGCGUUGUUUUUCUUCAUAUAUUUACAUAUGUGCAGCAGCAGCUGCGAUCUGAACUUUCAUUGCUCUCCUCUUUCCCAGGCAUAUUAUGCUUACCACUUGUGUUAUGGCUAUGCGGUGGAGGUUCAUUUGGCACAAUGAAGAAAUGCAGUCUUCUUGAGUGCCUUGCUUCUUUGAAAAUGUUCUACUGCUUACAGGUUUCAAGAAAGGUGUACACUGUGCUAACAGAGCAAAUCUUUGAGGUCUGUCAGCUUGAUGAUGUGUCAUGUUCUUUUGCAUAGCUGGUUUUCUCCUGUAGUGAAAAGGUAUGGAUAAAUGCUACCCUAACGAGUGAGCACACUGAAUUUAAUAGGUACGACAGCAUGCACGCCAGCUGUAAGCUUCUCUGAAGCUUUGUGCUGUACAUUACUGCUGCAGUUUGGUUUGCAGAAAAAAUCUUUUCUUCUGCUUGUGGAGUUGAAAGUCCCCAGUUUACAGCUGGGGAUUGCCCUACAGUAACAACAGGUUUGGGACAUGUAGUACUGUUUGGUUCAACUUCUAUGAAGCAGAAGCAAAAGCAUAAACCAGUUUCUUUUGACUUUGUAAGGUUACUGUGCCCGGUAAGUGAGGACAGGCCUGUUGAUAUUAGCCCAGUUCUAACACAGAUCCCCUAUUCUAUUCUUUACAAAAUAACUACAAAAAUUGGAUUUAAGUAUUACUUUUAGCAGUAAUGUGAUUUAUAUCCUUUCUAAAUAAACACAAGCCUCGUUAUAAAUGAGAUAAGUAUCCCUGCAUACAUUAAAAGCAUCGUUUGGAAUGUAACGGAGCAGAAUUUAAUCCUAAAAUCCUAGCUGUGUGCCUAAUUCUCUUUACUCUUCCCCUAAAUGGACAGGAUACAGCCACCUUUCUUUGUCGGUAGUGAGGUGCAGAAAUACAGCAUCGUGCUGACUCUGCAGGUAAUAAAUAUUUUCCCAUUCUGUUCCUCAUGAAUGCUCUAAUGUUUGUAGUGUUACCUUACAUGCUAGGGCUGUCUGCUUUACUGGGUCACAGCCCAUAAACCAAAACAGCUGAUUUGCUUUUUUCUUCACAUGGUAGGAAAACUCUAUGUUUGGAGUGCAAAGCACCCUGUGCAAAGAAGAUAACUAUAGGGUUGAAGCUUUUGGCAGUGGGCUUGGCUCUAUCACCAGCUGCUGUCAGCUUGCCCUGGGCUUUGUUAGAAGACAGAUAGAGGCUCUUGAAAAGCCAGAGCUGUGUUGGUAUGUCGAAGUGCUACAGACUGGCUGGGGAGAGCUCAGUUAGCAUAGAAUGUGGUGUUUGUGUGUGUAUUCUUCUCUCAAGUGGGGCACCAUUUAACUGUUCAAGCAAAUUCAUGCUACUAGGGAGAGGAUCUGGACUGGCAUCCGUAGGAAAGAGAAGGAAGUUGGAUGACAUGGGCUGAGGCAGAGGGGCAGUGUGCAGAAAGGGGGAGCUUACUGCAGGUGUUCUUUAGUUUUAAACUGUUGACAAAUGACCUUGAUUACAACUUUGCCAGAAGCUUUCCUCACAGUAAAAUCACUGGAAUUGGUUUGUACGGAGAUGAGGUGUAUCGAUGUCAUCCUAAAUAGUGAGGAUGUGAUAUUCUACACUCUUUCUAGGUGCAUUUCCAGCAUUGCGGAGGUAGCCUUUUUGGAACUGUGUGCAGUCACAGCAGGAACAGCUUCCUUUUCACAGCAGAACACUUCUUGCAGGACUCCCUAUAGAGCCUAAGGAUCCAAACUGCAGUAAGAAUUGGUGCAACUUAGGCAUGUGAAAAUUUUAGGCUCUUCAAAAAUACCAGCUUUGUAGGCUUGCAUCCUUGGAAUCCUGGGACUCUGGACAAAUUAGUUGAACUGAAAAGUAACUUUAAAUUGAGAAACUUCCCAAUUUCUAGGAACAAAUUGUGCCCUGGAAUAAAUACUUAGCCUUCUGAGUGUUGUCACAGCCUUCUCUUUACGUUAGGUGAGCUUGAUGGCCUCUCAAAGAUUUGUGUGCAACAAACAAUUUAAUCAACUUUAAGUUCAUUUGGACCUUAAAGGCCCUACUUGCUUCAGCAGAUUACUGCUAGGAGCUAAAUUAAGUAUGUUUUGUCAAACAUGAAUAGUUCAGCACAUUGUGAUAUUUCUUGGGCAAUGGAGGGGGAGAGGAAGGGUCAUGGAAGAAGAAGAGCUGAGAGUCUCCAUCUGAGCCCAUGUGAAACUUGCUAUCCAGUUUGCUAGGAUGUGCAGUGGAGGAAAGGCCAUCUACCUAAGUUUGCUCCUGACUUGUUUUCCCCAGUGGCUCAGAUAUCUUACUCUGAGGAGGAGAUCUUCUCGUCUGUUGAGGAGAAUCUUCCUUAUAAUGACUAACUCAUUUAAUUGGUCUUCUGCAGAAGAUCAGGAACUGGUUUUUCUGCCCUCUUACAGUGCAUACUCAUAUUCCACACCAUUCUGAGGGAGGAGACUGCUUUAUAAGGUGCACUUAGCGAUAUUAUGUUGCUGGUAAUACCUAGUGGAAAGAAAGAAAUCUAUCCAUCUAGGCAGAGACACUUCCUGGUGGGGUUCUGGUUGUUUAAAAAUAUGAGGAAAUUUCUGCAGGGUUGGAUGAUCUGUUUUAAAGUAAUUGUCUUCACACUGUUUACUUUGUUGAGAUGGUUGGGAUGGUAUCCAGCACAUUGCUGCCAGUGAACUGACAAUUGCAGUAUAGAGAUGGGAAAGGCUUAGUGAGGUUUGAGCUGAGGUGGCUGUAGCCCUGCUUGGUACAUUGUCUUGAAAAGGUCCUGAAUCGCAUCCCAGGGCUUCCAGGGCUACUUUUGGGUAGAAGGUAGAGUUUUAAACUCUUGCUUUUAACUCCUAGCUCUAAGAGUCUGCUUGUUGAUGCUCUUUGUGCCUUAAUCUUUCUAGCACUGGGACUAGUGGUCCCCAUUUGAAUGUUAGGAUAAUGUUCUCUCACUGUUCAGAGGCUCAGAAGAUUUGCUUUGCUUCAGGAACCUUUGUACGUUGUGUCCUCAUGUGAAAGCAAGUAGUUUGUUGAUUAGCCUUUCUGUUAGAUGGAAUGGAUUGAUAUCAAAGUAAAGAUGUUUUGGAAUAGACACAGAUGAUUCUGCCGUGAAGUUUCUUUUUGUAGGAUGAAUCUUUGCAAGAGUUGGGCUAACAAACUUACGGUUUUGCAAUUUAGUCAGGCCUGUUCACUUACUUACACAGUAAACCUAGUAACCGUUGUGAGAAUGGUCUCUGUUGAAUAGCUCAGACUUCACAAAUGGUUUCAUAACGUGAGUAGGAGAGGCUGUUGCUGGUUCUAAAAUAUUGAUAGAGUCCUAUUCCCUAGCCAUUAAUCGGAAAUAUCUUCUUAUGUAAGAAUCUUAAUCCAAGGUUAUACAAAACCCUUGAUGGAGGUUUAUAGGAAGGAAGUUGGAGUUUCCUCUAGGUCAUGACAAGUAGAAAAGACGGUUAUGUUUUGUGUCCUUCCACUGGAGCUGUUAAUAUCAUCCAGGGCUUUUUCCUUCCCAAUAAGGUACUAUCACUGUUAUUUUUAUCACUGUUAUUUCUAUCACUUUAGGAGGUAAAGUAACCUCUUAAAAGCACCUGCAGUCCAAACUGUUUAGUACUUCCUGUAAAAACUUCCUUCCAGAUUGAGCAAUGUGACUCAAAAGACUCUUCCAAGUACAGGGCACAGUGUGAAUGUUUUGUGGGAGAACUGGUUUGCAAUAUAUUUAAUGAGAGGUUUCCAAGUGCUUGUGGCUCUUUGUGAUAGAAAGAAGUGUCUGGGAGCUGCACUGGACCAUGAAGAACCAUGUAGGUUUGCUGUGCUCCACAGAGAAGCUACAUGAGAGCAUGACCAAAAGAGAAAGGCCAGGUGCACAGCAUUAGUGAAUCUUGUAGAAGAACCUGUGUAGGUUAGUUGAUUGCUGGCAUUUUUCCUUUCCUCCUUUGAUUUGGGCUCAGCUCAACUUACAGAGUGGCUGUGUGCAUCUAGCUUUUCCUUCCCGUCUUUUUUCAGGGUGAUAUAUAUUUGGCAUGCAGUGCCAUUAGGCAAGCAAAAUCCUUGUCCAGCUCCUUGACUUAGUUUGAAUAAAUAAAUACAUCUCCCUUAACAUUCUGCUAGUCUGUGGGAAAUCUGCAUUAGUGCAGGCAAGGCUGUGGAGGCCAUUUUCUAACCCUAGUACUAGUUGCAAGUUGAGUGUAGGCUAUUUUUUAAUAUCUAAAAUGAUUCCAGGGCCUCAUUUUGUUGUUAGCCCCCGGAUUACUUUGACCAAGCUCAAAUUAUGUUAAAAUAUUGGCUUUUAAGCAUGUUCAAACAGACAGUGGGGUAAUGCUGUUUUCUUACAGUGUAACAUCUAUCAGUAUUCUUUGGGUCCUGUGGAGCUUGAUAGCCACCACUGGUAUACAGUAAUUCAUUGUAUGCUUUGACUUGAACACAUUUCAUUCUAUGCCAACGAUGCAGGUACGCUAGAUGUACUCUGGGCUACAUCAGUUAGCUGGGUGCUAGACUUUAGUAGACUUAGUAAGUAACUUUUCUGCUAAUAUACAAGAUCAUUAGCAGUAGCUUGAGUUUUGAGUCUGCAGUUAUGGCUAUGUGUCACAUUCAGGUCACGGUCUGGAAAAAGCUGGGUUCAUCUCAGAUGAGUAAUGGCUGCAAACUUCUUGCCAGUACUAUUCCUUUCUCAAGGCAUGCCAUCAAAUAUUUUUGUUUUAUUCUUAAAUAAACAAUUAUUUAAAAGCAUACUUUGUCUUAACUUGCAUAAAAGCUGUAUGAGGGAUGUAGUUUAUGAUAAAGCAUUAACUGUGUGAUCUUGCAAGAUGCUGAGCCUUGGAACUGCUGCUGUGCUCAGUAUUCAGCUCUCCAAGCAGGGUAAGGAGUAUUUCUGUGGAACAAUCAUAAUAAAGCUCAAAAUAAUAAUUAAAAUCUGGAACUUUGAAGAAACAGAUACCUGAUUCUGAAUAUGAAGUAUCCAAAGUUUAUGCACUUUGUAAUCUGAGAAAAGGGUGUGCAUGGGGGAAGGGAAAAUCUGCCUUUCCCCAAAUAUUAAUGAUAUUAAUAGCUUCUCCAACCAUCCCCCCUCCCUCCCCCCAAAAAUGUUUCAGUGAAAUGAAAAUAUUUCCAUGGAAUGGCUUUUGACAGAGAGAACAAGCCCAGAGAUAGGAGCUCUACAGGGAGGUUUUUGAUGGGACGUUUCCAGGAGGCUCCUGUACUGACCUGUUCUUUCUUUGCUGGUGUAACAAUGUGGGGUACACAGACUGGACUCCUGCUGAAAUUUAAUUUGGAAGCUGGAGAGGAAUAUUUACUUGCUGAAUCCCAAAUUGCCUGUAACACAACAGGGCCGGUAGUCAUCCUUACUUUUGAGUCUUACCUAUUGAAUUAUGUAUCAAGAGCUGAUGAUUCAGGAUACUGGAUGCUCCGAAGCUGCACUGACAUCAAUGGGAAGAAGACUGCUGGCAUCCUGAACAGGCAGUGGGGCUGUAAUCAACAAAAGCCCCAGUCCUCCUGCCACACUUGUCUGUGGUGAGUAAGGGGUGUGUGUGUGUUCAUAUAUAAACACACACACCAUGAACUCACAUGGUCUGAAUGGUUGCACUGCAUGAACUGAAAUUGUACUUGUAUCUAUCCUUGAAAAGCAGUCCAUCCUUUCUUCUAUUCCCUCUCACUUCCUUACAAUGUAUCCUCCAUUUCAUUUUUCUCAGUGCCCAAAAUGUGCCCAAUAAUGGGGGAAGCUUUUUCUCCUGUCAUUCUUCUUAUUCUGGAGCCUUAUUCAGUGCCUGUGUUUGUUGCUCGGUUGUGGCAGAUGUAUUUUGUUUCUAGAAACCAGCACCUUCUUGUAUGUAAAAUAUACCUUUGGCUAAACAGACUGUGUAAAGCUUCCAUAUUAAGUGUCAGGUAAGUCGUUUCAAACAGCAAUGAACUCAAAUUCAGAUGUUUCCUGCUCCAAAGAGCUCAUUUGCAAAUGACAUUGCUCUUCUCAUAACCUUCACUUAGUCUAAAAAUGCUUACUGUUUGUGUGAGAUUUCAAGGACAGUGUUUUGCAGGAGAGUGACAGGCUUUUUUUUUUAAACUGUGAUUCAUGUAGUAGUUUAUAAACAAGAAAUUUUGACUGAACGUUGAAUGUUUGAAAAUAUGACCUCAGCUGAAGCUUGUUGUAUAUUUCAACACAAAGACUGUUUUGUAAAAAGCAGAAAUACUCUCAGUUUCUUCCCUGACCCUGCAGACCUGCUUGUCUCUGGGUGAAGUGUUGCUCAAAAGGGCAGGUGAGGUGCUUCAAAUUCAGACAUACUCCUGUCCUAGUAGUCUUUAGUCCCUGGAGGCAGAAGUAUUGAACCAGAACUACUUAUACUGCGAAUAUUUUCCUUCUCUAUUUAGAAUCUUUUCAGGAUUAAGCCAUUUUUCUGGUUGGUUCUGUACACUGAUCAAACAAUUUGGUUUUCAGCAUCUAAACAGUGUCUGAAAUUAGACUUGAAAGGCUUGUUCAUUUGCCUCGUUUUGUUUUGUUCUGUCAAGGUUAGCAACACAUCAACUCUGGAGGGUGUUAAUUCAAGGCUUGCAGCACAGCUUGGAGAGAGGAAGUGCAUGUGGGAGCACUGCUAGGAGAGGCCUUUCCGAGCAGUCAAACAGGUGCUCAUGCACCGUGAUUCAUUUUACUGGCUGUAAUACAGAAGAAUGAGGAAGCUAAGUGCAGCUCUAAUGCUUUUGCUACACUCAAAGCUUAGCACCUCUGUGUAUCUCUCAGGUUCACUAGCAGAAGAGAGCUUUCAUAUGUUGCAGUAACUUCUGUGACUGCUGGCCUGGAUGCAGGGCUUAUUGUAUUCAGGGUACUUGGGACUGGGACUGCCUUUACCACAUGCAUGUGUAGGGCUCAGCAUGUGACCAGGCAAAAAGCUCAGCCUACGAAGCAGCAGAGCACACAAACUGCUUGAUGCUUGGGUGCCCUUGGUGUUCUGCUGGCAGAACCCUUUGGAUCCAGUUCUUUGUGAAUUGUCCUUAGUGUUGCUCUCCACCUUCAGAAGUUGGCGGGGCAGCUGUGCAUCCCUGUGCUUGAGAAUGGUGAAAGAGAAAUCACAAAGGUGCUUCUAUGAAAGGAAAAAAAGUAAAGCUAAUGAAAGUAGUUAGUGCCAGUGGUCUAAUACUCAGCUUCCUUAGAUCUAAGAGACGUAUUGAGCUGAUGUGUUUGAAUGGCACCUUCUAAUCAUGUUUUCAGUGAAGCUUGUCACAGGCUUUGUAACUAGCGUUUUGGUAUUAACCUGAGUUGAGACAGCUGGCAGGAGCCUGAAGAAUGCUUUCCAGUUUGCAAGGCUGUGGAGCCUUGAUAAAUCACUUGCUGGCAGGCUGCACUGCUGUAGCAAGGGUGGAGCCUGUCUGCUGUUCUAUUGUUGGUUCCUUUGCAUUUCAGGGUGCUAACUAGAAUGGUCAGUGGUCUGUUUGUGGUCUUUUUGGUCCUUUUUUUGUUCCUGAUUGGCAGGUGAUCUGCAGUGGGACUACUAGAAGAGGUUUCAUAGUCUGUUCCUGGAUUUACUCAACCCAAAGAGAUAGAACUGUGCUGUUUGCCUGGCAUGGAAUUGUUCCACCCCCCACCCCACCCUUACUGUUCCUUCUCCUAACAAGCUGUUUGACAACCAAAGUUUGGCACCUUCUAGAUGUCUACGGAUUACCGUAAAAACAUAUUUAUCAGCUCUUCUGUUUUUCUAGGGGAAUAACAGCUGCCAUGGUUAGAGAAGGCUCCGUGGUAAGAAUUCCCUAUCUUCACAGGUUACAGGCUGCCUUGGCACAGCUGAUUGUUGACAUGUGGAGCGCUUCAGCUUAGGGUCACCAGUUCAAACACAGCCCUAGUCAGCAGUGGAAGAAAGCUGUUACCACAGGAGGUUUUUUAAUGAAGUGAGCUGGCAAUCUGUCAGGCUCUUCGGGCAUGAGUUUCUGCAAAACUACCAUAAAUGGUACUUGCAAAUAAUCUUGGAGUCAAAGAAUUAAGCAGGUGUCAAUGAUAAUCCAAAGAAACGAAGUAGGCACACAGGGAGUAACAGGCACUGAGCAGUCAGGCUUGUACAGCUGAUAAAUGGGGUGUUUAUGCAUUCCUUCCCGAACUUCAAAACUAGUUGGUAAAGCAGUGAAAAGCUUGUAAAUGUAUUCAUCUACAUUUUACUGUCCAGAUAAAAAUAGAAACCCGUAAUAAUAAUGCUGCUGGGUAAGCAAGGCACUGUUAGAGCUGCGCUUUCGUGGUCAGGAUGGGCAGUCCUUGAAUUCUGUUUGACCUCCAGACCACUUUCUUCAGUUCCAGCAGAUUUUUCAGGGUCUCUCUUAGGUUGGUCUUGUGUAUACAGUUCAUUGAGUUGUUUUUUUGUUGUGGUGAAACUGAGGCUGACUUUCCUUCACUGUAAUGAACUCCUGGGAAGAAAUGAAGACUUCCUCCAUUGCCCUCCUAUGAACUUUGCAUGGAAUGUCAUUGCCCUUCUGCCUGCUGUGGAGCGAGGGAUGUGAUGGUACCAUGCUUCUCUCCACCUGUUUCCAUUGUUUGAGAUUUAAUUCAACAAUUCACUUGAGCAGUUGAGGUGAUUACAAAUGCUGUAUCACAGUAACAGUGUUUGCACUGUAGUUUUCUUUUUUUAGGCUGCCUUCUCCACCCCACUCAUCCCUUUUCCUGCUUACCCCCACAUGCAUGCUCUGAGCUAGACAGCUCCGUUCAUACAAAUCUAGUUAUUCCUUAGGGAUAAAAACAAAUGGAAGUAACUGGCCCUGAAGUUUCUUACUGAGAAGAGUGGUACUAAAAGCUGUUUCUGGCUGGAGACGUGAACUUGGAAUAGGUCUUAAAACAACUGUUUUUCCUGCUCUCCUUCUCCACCCCAAUCUUGCCACACUGUGGUCAGAAAUCCUUUUUAUAAGCUCACGAUGGCUUGGGAUAUUUUCUUUGACUGAAAUAAGUGUAUAGGCUGAAACAUACACUCCUGGUAUGAAAUCAUCUGCUCUAGGGAGAGAACAGCUGCCACAUCAGCAGGGUUCUCUCUGACCUCACCCGUGACUGUGUAAGACAGGGAGAAAAAAAAUAAGUGAUAACAUUCACUUUAUGCUGAACUAUAUGUGUGCUCUAAGAGCUUCAGCAGAGUCCAGUAGCUCACUUGUAUUACACCUCUGUGUUGUUUCUCUUGAUCUACCCUUGCCCUUUAAAAUCAUAGAUGAUUGAUUUCUGCUUUAUGCUUGCACCUCUUUCAUUAUCUUCCAAAGGGUGCGUGGCUUAAUGCGUGAACUCUGUCCUGCUUUGAUUGGUAGGUGGUGAUGUAAGUGUACGUAAUUCAAAUGCAUCGAUUUCCCUGGAGUGCAAGACUGGAAGGCAGGAGAGUAGCCAGCAGGAUAUGUGCUAUUGGUCUGGAGAAGUAAUGAAGUAUGAGAGCCAAAAUGCUGGAGCAGCCUGCUUUAUUGUACCAUGUAAGUGACAGCAUCAUCGUCUGAGGAGGAUGCUGGAGUGCUAGGGAACAAACAAGUUUUGUAUUGCAAUCAAAUAGAGCUCCUUAUAAUGUAGACUUUGUGGAGGCUACCGGGGCUCUACUUCAAAAUGGUGGCAAGCUGGCAAAAAGUAGGGUUUAAACUAGGGCUGGGUAUAGUCAUUUGUGCCUGAAUGCUGACUGUAUGACACUGACUGAAUGUAGUUGUUGCUUUAUCUGGUCUAGUACUUCCUGUGAGUAUGCCCUCAUCUUGCUGCUUUGAAGAUGAGUAAAUAGAUUUUUAUAGUGAGGACAGAAUGUGCUUUCUUGGCAGGAGGCUUGUUUCCAGCUGAAUUUGUCUUCCUGUUUCUCUAAAACUUCUCGUUUCUGGAUCUUGGGUGCACUUGUUAAGCGUGUCACUUAGAUUCAGUCAUGCCAUGUAAAAAUCCCUGCCGAUUUGAAGGAAAAAUAAGUCUGACCUGGAUUUGUAGCUGACUCAUGACUUUUUAAAGGAUCUUCAGGAUCAUAUAUUUUGGCUUUGGAAAUAAAUAGGAAAGAUUGUUGUAGAAAAUUGUCGUUGUUCAAGCAAUAGUUGUUUUCUGUCUGCUUAAGGAAGGCUUAAUUUGCUACUUCCUUGCAAACAUAUAAUCACUGUGCUAUCUUUAGCUGUUUUGUGGUACAGCUUCACCUCAUGAAAGACAGAAUAACACAGAUGGUUUACAUUUUCCUCAACACAACAUACUCUGGGAGAGUAGGCAUGCUCUGAAGCUCUGCACUUUGAGCAACUUGCUGGCUGAAGGUGGUACAUCAGAUACGUUUUAAAAGUAUAUAAAAAUACCCAAUGGAAAUAGGGUUUUUGACCUUUCAGGGCCAUAUCAGCUCAAAAAAAAAAAAAACCCUCUUCUGUUGAGAAAUUAUUUGUGAAUAAAGUAUGUGAGCUUCUGAUAUCUUGCAAGAUCUUGCACCUGGGUUGAGGCAACCCCCGUUACCAAUACAAGCUGGGGGAUGAAAGGAUUGAGUGCAGCCCGGCUGAAAAAGACCUGGGGGUACUGGUGGAUGGCAAGCCGGACAUGAGCCAGCCCAGAAAGCCAACUGUAUCCUGGACUGCAUCAAAAGAAGAGUGGUGAGCAGGUCAAGGGAGGUGAUCCUGCCCCUCUACUCUGUGCUGGUGAGGCCUCACCUGGAGCACUGUGUCCAGAUGCGGAGUCCUCAGUACAGGAGAGACACAGACCUGUUGGAGCACCUCUAAAGAAGGGCCACAAAAAUGAUCCAAGGAAUGGAACACCUCUCCUGUGAGGACAGGCUGAGAGAGCUGGGGCUGUUUAGCCUAGAGAAGAGAAGGUUGAAAGGUGACCUGAUAGCAGCCUUUCCGUAUCUAAUGGGGAACGAGAGGAAAGAGGAGGGCAGACUAUUUAGCAGGGUCUGUGGUGAUAGAACAAGGGGAAAUGGUUUCAAGUUCAAGGAGGGUAGAUUUAGGUAAGAUGUAAGGAAAAAAUCUUUUACAGUGAGGGCAGUGAGGCACUGGAACAGUUUACCUAGUGAUGUGGUUGAUGCCCCAUCCCUGGAGACUUUCAGGGUAAGGCUGGAUCAGGCCCUGGGCAACCUGACCUAGCUGUGGUAUCCCUGUUGAUUGCAGGGGAGCUGGACUAGAUGGUCUUCAGAGGUCCCUUCCAGCUCUAAGGAUUCUGUGAUUCUAUGAAGCUCUGGUUUGAAUUGUCAGAUAAUCGGAUGUUCAUAUUGAAAGUGGACCAUGAGCCUUAAACUCAAUCUUCUGAAAGUUUUAUUAAUUAGAGUUGAGCAUUGGUCAAAGUUCACCAUGGCAAGAUGCUAUAAAUGCUUCCAUUAUAAUAGUCCUGUACCUGUUUUUCUAAGUGUUGAUAUAAAUGGUGAAUAAAUGCUUUAGGCUUAUUCUUAAUUCAAAAAUUAUGUAGAGAUCUUAAAGCUAAGUCACUGUAGGGAUAAGAAAAGAAAAAACAAUACUUGGAGGAACUUCUUUUGUGUUUUAUUUGACACAUUUUUUUUAAACAAAACUAUAAGCUUUAUUGAAAACUGUUCUGUGAUUGUUGUUAUACUUUCAGUCUGUGGGUAGGAAUGGCUUUUUAGCAUUGGCUAUUCUUAAUUUCUCAAGUCUUUUGCCUGAAAGAUCAGGCAUGACAUCUGCAGUUAACCAGUGAAGUUAAAUCUCUCUGAUUUGUUCUUUCCUUGUACACUGCAUGAUUAACAUUGAAUGCAAAUGAUUACAUUGAAAACCUUAAUAGCUACAGUAACCUUUUGCUUAUUCCAUUCUCAUUAAAUCAAGUUAGUUUUGUUUGUUACAGACAAAUCAGUCCUCUGCGGAGGGCAAAUGCAUUCCCAAUCGGAAUGUGUGGGCUUUGCCUGGUUGAUGCCUGGGGAAUCUCCUGGGAGACUUCAAAGUGGGGCCUGAAUGUCCAGGAAUUGUUGAAAGACAGUUCUGAAACCCGUGUCGUGUGAAGUAAAAGCAUGAAUGUAGAAAAACUGGCAGGGAUGUGGAGGGAAAAGGAAGUACAAAAGUCAGUGGUUAUGUUUGAGUACUGUCUGUGGCCACGUCUCAGAUUUUAGGUGAGAUGUGUCAAUGUUCAGCAGCUCCUGGGAUUUAGUUGCAGAUAUGGAUAAGGUGGCUGUUUUCACAUCCAGUUCUGGCAUGCUUUUGGCUGCCCGAGGAAGACUUUAAGUAAAUAAGAAAGCCAUGACUGGUAAACUUGUGGUAAUUGCAUGAGAGCAAGAGUUGUUUGUUGCCAAGAUUAUACUGACUUGUGGUUCCUGGUUUUGAGGAAUGGCAACAUUGGCAGAGGUAGAACUGUUUGUUGUACUAAUGCAAUUACACUGGAUCAUAAUGGGUGGUAUGACACAGCUUUGAUUUGGGUGUCUUCUGGCUUUGAAUACAUGGUAGGUGUAAGCCUCUAAUUUACUUUGUCUGACAUGUAUGCAGUUCUGGUUGUGGGUUGUUUUUGUUUUUGUUUUUUUUCCAGAAAGCUGUUAUUUUAUUAGCUUGUAGACAUUCUUCUUUCCAUAAGAGAGAGUGGCGACGCAGGUUCUUACAAUGAAGUGACAUAGUCAGGAAACAAAUAACUGCUUAUAACCUGGAUAAAGCAAUUCUCUUCCUUCAGGAACUCUUUACACAAUAUAAUGUAUGCCACCGUAGAUGGGCUAUGAAGGUAGUCUCCUUUAUAUGCCUGCUCCUUUCUCCCAUGGUUAACUCUAUCUUCUUUGAAUAUCUUGCGUGAAAACACGCCCAUCAGUUGGCACAGAUACUGGGUAUUCCCUGAAUUGAGAUUCCCAAAGAAAUAGGAAGAAGAGGGUUGUCCUGACUGGUUGACAGCUCUGUGUAGCCACCUGUGAGGGCUUGAAGGGAGAAUGACUUGGGACACUCAGGUAAGGAAAAUCUCAUAUAUUUGUGCUGACUCUUGUACUCAUCUAUUGCCAGGCACCCAACCUACCUGAGCCCUGAAAAUAUUAAUGGAUAGUGCAGACAACACUGAAAUGCAAACUUUCUGUGUGUAAGCCCUUAAACAUCUCACACUGGGAUGUUUUAUGACUCACUAAUUUAUCGCCCUUACAUUAUGUAAAUAGAGCUGUGGAUAUUUGUCUAAUUUUCUUUCAAAACUAUAAGACAUAUAAUCUAGACAGCUAUGCUUUGUUUCUGCUGUUAUUUCUUUAAAUAGUCUUAAUUUUAAAUGCUUUGAACAACAGACUUCCACAACUUCCCUUGAGAGUGUGCCAGGUUGAUAUGAGAGCAAAUGUUCAGUUUGUUCCACGGCGUUUCUGGUGUGGGUGUGAGCUUUUCUUUAUUGCUUUGUCACAGUUCCCAACAGCAGCUCUUUGGAUUGCCUGAAUUGCUGUUCCUCCAGGUUUUUUGGGAGCCAGUUAGCUGUAGUCCUUAAAAGUCAAAUGAAGAUUCUGGAAUGAAGUUCUGCAAAGUAUGCAGCUGCCAUAUGUGCAACAAAAAGAAGGUAAAACUACAGGUUUUGGAAACUGAAAUAGAACGUGGUGGUAGUAAGAGAGCAAUUGGAACCUUUCUGAAAUAGGUAAGCAAGGUGAAAUGUCUGAGUUUUUCAAGAGGCAUUUCCUUAAAGUAUCCGGAGUGUCUGAACUCAAUGGGAAGAUGCAGAGAAGUGAUAUGUAUUCUUUGUCAGUAAGCAGGCUAGGGGUUCCUGGCUUUGCUUGUACUGCUUCUAAUCAAACCUAGUAGCACUGCAACUGAAACAAAUGGUUUUUAUUUUUUUUCCUGGAUGUAACAUAUUGAGGGAAUGGGAGCUACAAGGAUUUUUUCCUAAAAAUACUGAUAUUAAUAAAAAAAAUAAAGACUUCUGUUAAGACAUUGACUUAAAAGUGAUUAAAACCAGCGAUUUUCAGUAACUUUGCAAAACCAGGGAGGCUAUUGUUCUUGCAGCCUCUUCCCUAAGUGUAGGAAUACCCAUAGAGUGUUUUCUUGAUUUGCCUAAAACAGCUGAAUAUCACCCUGUUGCCUAAGGGGUGGGUCUGUCACAAAUUCUGUGUUUCUUUUCCUGUUCUGUUUCUGUUAUGAUAAUUGCACAGCCUGUGGGGAGUUGGAUCGUAUCUGACUGAACAGGCUUGUCUUGUUUCUUAGGUUAGGGGACGGUAGUGCUGGUGUGGUCUUCAAGUUAAACUCAUUCUUACAGCCAAAAUGAGGGGAGUAAAAUGAAUCCCUGUCUGUGGUGGCAUGGUCCUAAAUUGGCUUAAGCAUGAAUUCUGGCAGCUGAAGAUUGUGGAUGCAUGUACUGUUAGUUAUUGCCUUGAAUUGUGCCUUAACAGGAAGGGUAUGUGGCUAAAUUUACAACCGCAGAAGUGGUGGUGUUCCUUUCUGCAGUAUCAUUAUGUACUUAAUGUUAUUGAGUGAUAUGAGUAAACCCAAUGAAACCACAGGACCAGAGGAGAAAGCUGUGAAAAUGAGGAACUGGUUUUGGUAAGCAAGCACGUUUGGCCUUUCUGAAGGCAGAGAUGUCUGUUAGCACUUCUGUUUUGGGUGCAGGUACUGAAUUUUCUUUAUCGUAUUUGACUGAGGUUGUGUUUCAAAUGUCCAGUUUUAAGAAAUGUGCACUUUAAUGUUUCAAAUGAGUCUUGAAAUACAGAAUGAAAACAUAUCAAGACAUUAAAGAAUGCUUAAUAGACUGUAUUCCUUAUUCUGUUCUCAUCAUACCAUGAACGUAGGAAAAGCAUAACGGUGGAUUCCUUUGAGGUACAUUUACAGAGUUCAAGAGCAGCUCACUUGCUGGUGAUGGACAACAGACUUAGGAGUCUCUAGUUCCAUCCUAGUGUGGUUACUGGUGACUGAAAUAGUGUGAGAGGUGUCCUUAACCUUACACAUUUUGCAGCUGAUUUUGGAAGUCUUUUGUCUCAACCCUAGAAACUGUUCUCUGUGCUGUUCUUGGCAAUCUGAAUUAGAGAGAUGGUACUGAAAGGAAUCCGUCUCCUUUCUAGGAGGGUUUCUAUUUUGCUGCAGAA